CAAGUGUACCUGCUCCGCCGCCAGCGUGGACUGCCACGGGCUGGGCCUCCGGGCGGUCCCCCGGGGCAUCCCCCGCAACGCCGAGCGCCUUGACCUGGACAGAAAUAACAUCACCAGAAUCACCAAGAUGGACUUUGCUGGGCUCAAGAACCUCCGAGUCUUGCACCUGGAAGACAACCAGGUCAGCAUCAUCGAGAGAGGCGCCUUCCAGGACCUGAAGCAGCUGGAGCGAUUGCGUCUGAACAAGAACAAGCUCCAGGUCCUUCCGGAAUUGCUAUUUCAGAGCACGCCAAAGCUCACCAG